rnacentral:rRNA from 1 species
UGAGUACGAGAUGCUACGGCAUCGAAGCAGUGUAUGUCAUACUUCCAAGAAAAGCUCGCAAUGUCAUAAACAAAUAAUGCCUGUACCAUAACCGACACAGGUGGGUAGGUAGAGUAUACUAAGGGGCGCGAGAUAACUCUCUCUAAGGAACUCGGCAAAAUGACUCCGUAACUUCGGGAGAAGGAGUGCCUUAUUUUUGUAAGGUUGCAAUAACAAGAUCCAAGCAACUGUUUACCAAAAACACAGGUCUCCGCUAAGUCGUAAGACGAUGUAUGGGGGCUGACGCCUGCCCAGUGCCAGAAGGUUAAAGAAGUUGGUUAGCAUUAGCGAAGCUGAUAACUGAAGCCCUGGUGAACGGCGGCCGUAACUAUAACGGUCCUAAGGUAGCGAAAUUCCUUGUCGGGUAAGUUCCGACCCGCACGAAAGGCGUAAUGAUUUGGAUACUGUCUCGGAGAGGGGCUCGGUGAAAUAGACUUGUCUGUGAAGAUGCGGACUACCUGCACCUGGACAGAAAGACCCUAUGAAGCUUUACUGUAACUUGAGAUUGAAAUUGGACUUUAUCUGCGCAGUAUAGGUGGGAGACGUUGAUAUUAUUCUUGCGGGAAUAUUGGAGUCAUCAGUGAGAUACCACUCUUAUAAUGUUAGAUUUCUAACUUUGUAUCAUUAUCUGGUCAAAGAACAGUUUCAGGCGGGCAGUUUGACUGGGGCGGUCGCCUCCCAAACGGUAACGGAGGCGCACAAAGGUUUCCUCUGAACUGUAGAAAUCGUAUCUAGAGUGUAAAGGCAUAAGGAAGCUUGACUGUGAGACCUACAAGUCGAGCAGGGACGAAAGUCGGUCUUAGUGAUCUGACGGUGCUGAGUGGAAAGGCCGUCACUCAACGGAUAAAAGUUACUCUAAGGAUAACAGGCUGAUCUCCCCCAAGAGUUCACAUCGACGGGGAGGUUUGGCACCUCGAUGUCGGCUCAUCGCAUCCUGGGGCGGUAGUACGUCCCAAGGGUUGGGCUGUUCGCCCAUGAAAGCGGUACGCGAGCUGGGUUCAGAACGUCGUGAGACAGUUCGGUCCAUAUCCGGUGUAGGCGUUAGAAUAUUGAGAGGAGCCUUCUUUAGUACGAGAGGACCGAGAAGGACAUACCUCUGGUGUACCAGUUAUCGUGCCAACGGUAAACGCUGGGUAGCUAUGUAUGGAGAGGAUAACCGCUGAAAGCAUCUAAGUGGGAAGCCCACCUCAAGAUAAGUAUUCU